rnacentral:rRNA from 1 species
GAUGAACGCUGGCGGCGUGCCUAAUACAUGCAAGUCGAGCGAACGGACGAGAAGCUUGCUUCUCUGAUGUUAGCGGCGGACGGGUGAGUAACACGUGGAUAACCUACCUAUAAGACUGGGAUAACUUCGGGAAACCGGAGCUAAUACCGGAUAAUAUUUUGAACCGCAUGGUUCAAAAGUGAAAGACGGUCUUGCUGUCACUUAUAGAUGGAUCCGCGCUGCAUUAGCUAGUUGGUAAGGUAACGGCUUACCAAGGCAACGAUGCAUAGCCGACCUGAGAGGGUGAUCAGCCACACUGGAACUGAGACACGGUCCAGACUCCUACGGGAGGCAGCAGUAGGGAAUCUUCCGCAAUGGGCGAAAGCCUGACGGAGCAACGCCGCGUGAGUGAUGAAGGUCUUCGGGUCGUAAAACUCUGUUAUUAGGGAAGAACAUAUGUGUAAGUAACUGUGCACAUCUUGACGGUACCUAAUCAGAAAGCCACGGCUAACUACGUG